rnacentral:sRNA from 1 species
AUCUGCGUUGCCAAAGACAGCAGGUGGCUUUUGCCGUAAAUCCUGCCGAGGUUUCACACGAAAUGAAUUGGUUUUCUGUGUCCUCCUGUCUUUUGGCAGGUGGACAUUUAUUUUUUU